CCGCGCGUUCCCGUGGCUUCAGUAACAGGUCCCUCCCGUAGCGAUAAACCCGAAGUUCUGCGUGAAUCUCUCUCAUCCGCGCGCUGAGUGCGUGUCUCGCGCAUCCGUGAGACUGGAAUAAUGAAGCCGGUGCGCGCUGGCCAAUAGCGGAGGGUGAUUGAGGGCGGAGGGAGCGCAGCGGCUGUCCGUCACCCUGCUGCUCGGAUGCGCUGCGAAGUGACCAGAUGUGCCUGAAUCGUGUCGGGCUCCUGGGGGCCACUGGGAUGAGAGCAACGCUGUGCACACCGGAGCAGAGGAGACGUGGGGGAAAUCCGUAAAGGGCCUGAAGAGAGUGAAAGCACAAGAGUGAGAGCUGCCGAGGUCUACCAUU